CUGGGGAAGUUACAAGAACAGAACAGAACAGAAUGUGGAGAAGCUUGAAAACUGGCAGUUUGUCAGGGGUUGCUCUAGCAAACAAGAAGAUGGUAACAACUGUGGCACCUUUGUCCUAAUGAAUGCUGAGGCCAUCAUCAAAAACAUACCAACUUUGGUUAUGCGGCAAGCACAUUGUGAAACAUACAGAAAGUAUAUGUAACAAAAAGACUUCUUAUGGAAGGGAAGAGAAGAAAUGAAGAAACAUGUGACUUUGUAGAAUCUUGUAGUGGACCACAUAAAAAGUGGAUCCAGUGUGACUGUUGUGGAAAGUGGUUACACAUGAAAUGUGCUCAAGUGAAAAAAGUGGAUCCCAGUUAUAUGUGUGUGUUUUGUUGUGCCUUAUACAAGUGAUUCAGAUUGAAACUAUUCAAGUUCCAAAUUGUAUGACAGUCAAUAGGAAUCUUCUGGACACAUUCCUAGUAUUCACUUGAGUUAAAAAUUAUGAGAUUUUUUUCCAUCAUGAAUUAUAGCAUAUGUCAUAUCACCAACUGUGACCAUGCAUGCAACAAUGGACUGGUGUUAAAUGUUGUUUCAAUUUAAUUUUUAGCUUUACUUUUCCAAGUCAUUUAUUGGUUAGUGUUUUUGGUAAAGUCCAAUGUACAUGUAUCUCUAUUAUAACCAAAGCUAUUUACUUAAAACUUAACGUGGUUAUUUACUAUUUAUGUCUACACCAGGAGAAACAAUCCUCACAACUCCAAUUUUAA